CUUACCCUUGCAGGUUUUGGGCGGUUCAGGAGGGCUGGAUGUACUGUUUUUUUUCUUCUUGAUGACCGCCACACUCUUUUUGUCAAAUGUCAGGGGGCUGUACUGUGAUUCAGUGAUGUGAUGGAGAAAUUACAUCACCCUGCUCACCCUGGGGUGGUUUCCUCCUUAGACUUGGACUUCUUGAGCUUUUUUGGGUUGCUGGUAGCAGCUUGAGAAAAUCCCCAGCUUUCAUCAUUCCAGCCGCCCUCAUGAUCGGACACACUGCCUCGAAUGGAACCUCUUUUCCCUAGAAAACAGAUCAGCAGCAUUUUUCAUUUACUGUAUCAAAUGUUUUGAGUUUAAAUAUAAAUCAUGAGAUAAUGGUCAACUGAAUCAUAUUAAGUAUUAUUUUAGUUUUAUGUUUGUUGCUUUAUAGAUUGUAAUUUUUAUUUUCAUUUGAGCAUCUUAACCUGUACAGCACUUUGGUCAACCUUGGGUUGUUUUUAAAUGUGCUUUAUAAAUAAAUAAUGAAAUGAAGUGAAAAUUCUAAAUGAUAUUCGGCAUGUCGUUCAACGUCAUUGAAAUUGUACUUCAACCUUACAGCGGGAGUAACAUUGGAAAGCACUUCUUUAGAAAUGAUAGAAAGCACAAUUUAAAGACUUUUUAUAGUGUUGUCAUUUCUGCAGAAUAACACCAAUGAGGAAGUAUGUUUUUUCCAUGCUACUAUUUGUUACACAUUAUCAGCUGGAACUAGUGGGAAAUGAGUUUCAAAUCCAGUCUCUAACUAACAGGAAAGGAACCUGUGGGAGGUGUGUGUGCGUUACCUCUGUCUACAUUUGCUCUCAGUGAUGUGAGCAUCCCUUCGGACACUAGAGUCUUAUAAAGUGCUCCUUUACAGCUUCGCUCAGACUUCCUGGACCCACAGUUCUCUGGCUUAACCUCCAGGUCUUUAUCUUCCUGUCUGGUUUGAGGUGGUUUGGUGUCUGUGUCUUUCUCCUCCAGUUCUGUUGGCUGCAGAGGAGAGCAGUGUGGUUCCAUGUCCUCCACGCCACUAGGGGGCUCCACCUUCAGACUUUUUCUUCUUCACAGCUGGAGACUGGUCCGCAGUGGGGCUGCUUUCACUCUCUGAGGGACGAGCUUUCUUCCUGGGCGUCUCUUCUGAGCCCCAAGCACCUUUUGCGACUGCUUCAAUGGUGAACAUCACGCUGUCCAGCAUCUUACAAGGGCUGAUGUCAGAUGGGGUGGUGUCCGUAGGGGAGGAUGAGGUGGAGCCGGAGCCAGAGGUAGAGGAUGACGAUGUGGGGAGAGGAAGUUCGGGAGCGUCCCCCUGCUCUUCGUGGUCUGGGAUGGCUGUGCUAAUUGAGCUGUGCUGAGCACAGAGAGAAGAGGAACCGCCAGAGGGCUGGGAGGAUCGAGCUUCCAUUUUCUCAGCCUCAGAAGCCAAACACAUCUAUAUAAACACAUAAGGACAUCAGGUUAUGGAGCUUUGCAAUAAAAAUGACCUCUGGCACAGAUA